rfam:Salmo salar isolate Sally breed double haploid chromosome ssa04, whole genome shotgun sequence.
UAGCUCAGUUGGUAGAGCAUGGUGUUUGCAACACCAUGAUUGUGGGUUCGAUUCCCAC